AGUGAACGCUGGCGGUAGGCCUAACACAUGCAAGUCGAACGGCAGCACAGUAAGAGCUUGCUCUUACGGGUGGCGAGUGGCGGACGGGUGAGGAAUACAUCGGAAUCUACUUUUUCGUGGGGGAUAACGUAGGGAAACUUACGCUAAUACCGCAUACGACCUACGGGGGAAAGCAGGGGAUCUUCGGACCUUGCGCGGUUGAAUGAGCCGAUGUCGGAUUAGCUAGUUGGCGGGGUAAAGGCCCACCAAGGCGACGAUCCGUAGCUGGUCUGAGAGGAUGAUCAGCCACACUGGAACUGAGACACGGUCCAGACUCCUACGGGAGGCAGCAGUGGGGAAUAUUGGACAAAGGGCGCAAGCCUGAUCCAGCCAUACCGCGUGGGUGAAGAAGGCCUUCGGGUUGUAAAGCCCUUUUGUUGGGAAAGAAAAGCAGCAGGUUAAUACCCCGCUGUUCUGACGGUACCCAAAGAAUAAGCACCGGCUAACUUCGUG
rnacentral:rRNA from 1 species